AGCCACGAUCUGAUCUAGUGCUAGGGGAUAUGCCAGCAUCGGCUACCGUUGUAGCUUCUUCACCAUCAGAGCCCACCGAAGCCAUCCCAAGUUUCUCCAUCGGUGCUUAGGCCAAGGUUGUAAAUACUUAAAUUUUAUUAUUUUUUUUAUUUUUCUAUCAAUAUAAUGAAUUUUUUUACAUUAAUGAAAAAUGUAGUUUUUUACCUCCCUCGUUCGACUUAUAGUUAUUAUGAUGUGUUUGUCCUAGUCUGG
rnacentral:lncRNA from 1 species